UUUGCAUUGCACUUGGUGAUGUAUGGCUUGGAUGCAGCUGCUCGGCCAUGGAAACCCAUUCCAUGAAGCUCUCUAUGCACUGUUCUUGAGCUAAUCUGAAGGCCACAUGAACUUUGGAGGUCUGUAGCGAUUGACUCUGCAGAAAGUUGGCGACCUCUGCGCACUAUGCGCCUCAGCAUCCGCUGACCCUGCUCUGUCAUUUUACGUGGCCUACCACUUCGUGGCUGAGUUGCUGUCAUUCCCAAUCGCUUCCACUUUGUUAUAAUACCACUGACAGUUGACUGUGGAAUAUUUAGUAGCGAGGAAAUUUCACGACUGGACUUGUUGCACAGGUGGCAUCCUAUCACAGUACCACGCUGGAAUUCACUGAGCUUCUGAGAGCGGCCCAUUCUUUCACAAAUGUUUGUAGAAGCAGUCUGCAUGCCUAGGUGCUUCAUUUUAUACACCUGUGGCCAUGGAAGUGAUUGGAACACCUGAAUUCAAUUAUUUGGAUGGGUGAGCGAAUACUUUUGGCAAUAUAGUGUAUCUACCAACUACAAUGUGACACUAAUUGCUUUGGUUUUCCAGUUUCUGAUUGCUUCCCAAGCUACUAAGUUGAGGAGAUAUGAUUUGGGCAACUCUGUGCUUGACCAUUUCACAUACCACACCAUUGCUUGAGCAAAACUCAUGAAAAAAUUAUAAAAGAAAGAAGAAAUAAUAAUAAAAAAAGAACUAUUGUUUACUUUAUUUGAUAAUCUCACAUCUCAAUUUUUCAAAAUAUAAGUUUUAUCUAAAGUUAUUCCCCUGUUACUAAUUACCUGUAUUCUUUCAAGUCCCAUUAUUGAGAAAAUUCCCACUGCAGGCUAUCAUCCUUUUAAACCUCAGGUUAAGGCCACUUUUAACCAUGUGUUUAGUAAUGUUUCAUUCUUCAGUGCAGGGUUAGCACAGAUUUUACAGGGUUAACUCCACAUUGCUGUGCCAAAGGCACACAAUUUUAAACAAUUCUGUGUUAGAAUACUACAGUUGUUUAGCAACCAAUCACAAUCUGCCUCAGUGCUUUCCUGAUUAAAUAUUUAUGUGGUUUGUACUGUAUAGUCACAGAAAUGUUCAUGUGCUGUUUUGGUUCAUUGUGGAAAUCAGCAGAAAUUUCAAACAGCAUUAAGUGCAUUCAUUUAAAUGAAGUGACUAUAUUACUUUUACAUGUGUUUUAGUAGUAUGUUUCAGAGGAUUUAUGUGGACUUAUGUGUCAGCAUGUCCAGAGAUAAAUUGAAAGGCAGUUAUUUACACAGGUUACGUGCCCAUCACAAGCUGUAUUCACUCAAUCAAUAGCUGCUUUUCUACAAUAGGGCCGAAUGGUUCUCAUUUUGAAACCAUGACAUUUUGUACUGAUCCGAGCUCUUUGACAAGGAUAUGAUUUAAUCUUCCACUGUUAUGCAAGGUGUUAAUCAGGAUAAAAAUGGACUGACUGGGUAAGUGACAAAUAGUGAGUCACCUCAACAUUAAAGCUGUUUCACCAACAUGGCUCUCUUGCGACCUUCAAGUACAGUCGGAAAUUAAUGACCUAGCGAAAUCCUAUUUACAGUCCCAGUGGAUAACUCAGAAUUCUAGAUGAUAACCGAGCUGCCAUGUUGUGGCGUUGAAAGUAAUUUCUGGUAUUUCUCCAAAAAGGAUGGUGGGAGGACUGCAGAUCCUAUUGCGUUGAGGCUGCCUCCGCAAAACCGGCCACUGCUUCCCCAUAAACCAGUGUUACCGCUCCAUAUGGCCGUGCACAGAUCCUGAUUGUUUAAAUCCUGUUCUAGGGCACAGACUUAUGUUCCUGAAACGUCGACCGCAUGCUUUCCCCUCAAAUAAGCAUUAGCAGAAGUUUUUCAUCUACCGGCGCAAGUGCAGCCCACUCUCCAGUGGCCAUGGAUCUAACUUUUCACAGAUUAUUUCUUAUUCACAGUGUUGUAAAUUGUCUUCCUAGUAUAAGUUUCACCUAAAUAUGACUAUUUUGUCUUUUCUACAGCAACGCCUGAAACUGUGCCUUCCGCAGGGGUUUCACCAAUAUUACUUCCAGCAGUGCAAAAUGCAACCUUUGGAAAUGGAUGGAUAUAUUGACUGAUUUUACAACGUGGAGAGAAAUAAAUAUUCUCCCUCUCUCCUUCAUUUGGCCACAAGUUCUCAUCAACAUCACAUCUUAUGUCUUCUCUGGUGAUGCAUCUUGGAAAAUAUGUUCUAGAAUGUCUAAUCCAACCCUGGCAGCCUUCAGGAGACGUGUCUCCACACCCCGCAUUUAUGGAAUCCAGUAAGGACAUAUGGUCAUAUGGAUGGUGAUCAUAAUUGUGGCCCUUAUCUCAUCAGAGACUACUGCUCUUGGUCUUUCUCUCCUUUGUCCUCCAUGCAUUCUCCCUCUCCUUACCACUCUUCUUUCCCCACCAACCUGUCUUCCUUCAUCCAUGUUUCCAAACUAAAUCAUUCUGAAGCCGUCCUCUUUUGUCUGUUUGGUGACGAGACUAAAAACAGGACAUUAGUGGACUUUCAGCUGAAAUUGCAAUCAGCUGUGUUUGGAAUGAUUAAAUAUUCUGCAAAGAUUUUCUAUAUAUUUCAGUCUGGUUACUGCAGAAAUGCAUGACAUUUACCAUCAUUGCGUUUUGAAUGUGUUUAUAACAGUUGUGGAAACAGUGUGUUAGCAUUUGAAAAUGUGCUGUACAUAACCCUAGUUUUUCAGGUGGUAGAGUAUGAAUGAGAGAAGAGUUCAUGGAUUUUGGAGAAUGUGGUCAUUGAAUGCAUUUUGUGUGAAAGCAAUGAAAAAUUAUUCACAGUUUGGUCCACAUACACUUCUGUUUCGCUGACUGUGUGAAGAGUUUUGACAAUGUAUGUUAACAAUUGAAAAAAAACUAUAAUGCAGAAAAGCCAACAAAUAGAUCUUGGGGAUGUUCUGUUAAAAGAUUAUUAUCCAAAUACAGGUGUGAUCAUUUACUUUUUGUGUGGAAACAAAUUUGGUUGUAUAGUUGAGAUUUUGUUGCCUUGCACGGGUAUUUCUGUCAGAUCAGGAAGAUUAUCAAAAAAUAUACAGACAACAAAAAAAAGUCUAGGCAAAAUUUUGACCGAUGUCCCUCUCCAAUGCAUGAAAUAGCAUCAUAUUCCUUUUAUGUUCUUGACCCGAUUGUGAAAUAUCAAAUGGAAAAUAAUAUAUCUACCUGCUCAUCUCUGCUUUAGCUGAACUACCUUUCAGAAAGCUGCUCCAAAAGAAAAUAUAAGUACACAGUUUGCUACUCUUAUCUACAUUUCACUUUGCCCAAGUUUUCACUUUAUGGCAGUAAAGCAGCCAGAUAGUUUGGUUUCUGUUUGAAGAGAUAAAAGCAAGUCUUUUGAAAAAUAGCUCUCUCACUUAUAUUUUGACAAACUUAUUGGUAAGGUAGCUUGUCUGGCAUUUACUCUAUUCACUGGUUACCAGUGUUUUACAGAAUUGAUUGAAUGUCCAAAUUGUGAUGCAUACCUUACAUACCUUGGUAAUAUGAUUACUAAAUAUACUCCAGCUAGAUCACUCAGAUCAUAAUACAACUUGCUGCUUAUACACAGGGUUGGGGAGUAAAGAAAUACAUGUAACGGGAUUUCAUAUUUAAAAUACAAAAUAUAAGUAACUGUAUUCCACUACAGUUACAGUUUAAAUCAUUGGUAUUUAGAAUACAGUUACAUUCAAAAAGUAUUUUGAUUACUGAAGAGAUUACUGUGUAUUUUAUUGUCAUUUGUUUCAUUUUAAUAUUUAGUCCUUUCAGAUGGAAAAAAUAUACACAUAUAAAUGAUGUGAUCCAAAGUGCAUUUGAACAGCGGUGAAACACUUUCUUAUGAUGUGUUACAUUCAUACGAACAGACAGAGAAUUUUGGAGCACAAGAAAUAGAAAUAAAUCUUGUGUAAAUUGUCGCUUUACGCUAAACUAAAAUGCUAUUUCUAGCCAUUUUACAUGCAUGUGUUACCAGGCACAAUUAUGUUGUUUUAUCAAGAAAAUUCACAUUGGCUCAUAAUUUCUUUUUUCCAGUAAGACCUUUUACUAUUAGGGUAAAUAUUGUAUUCUUGAUAAUAAUUUUUGUAUUGUUUUCCUGUAAAAAUAUCUAAAAAUCCUUAAAACAAGAUCAAUUUGAUGUAUCUUGUUUUAGAAACAACACUGCAUAAGAUAUUUAGGUUUUUCAGAGAAGGUAUUUUUAACAUAUGUAUUUUAUCUUACUGUACUGGCACAGUUUUUAUAGUCAAAACAAGUGAAAAAAUCUACAAGUGCUGAAGAAGUAAUCCAAUGUAUUUAUAAUACAUUACUGACCUUGAGUAAUUUAACGAAAUACGUUACAAAUUACAUUUUACAGCAUGUAUUCUGUAAUCUGUAGUGGAAUACAUUUCAAAAGUAACCCUCCCAAACCUGCUUAUACAGUAUAUUAAAACAUGACUUAAUGAUUACAAAAAGUGGGAAGUCAGUCUUUAGUCUUUAAAAAAACAAUUCUGGGUACAAGGGCUGUCACUGCAGUGGUACCCUCAAGGGGACCUUUUUUUGUAUCUCUAGUUAAAAUUAAUAACUUGUUUUAGGUAGAUAAUUGUGCACUAAGGACCUAUUCUGUAUAUUUCCAGGUGCAUUUAUAAUUUAUGUUUUGCUCUGGGAACAAAAAAAGAACAAGCAAAAAAAAAAAAAAAAAACUUUGUCUCUUUAUGUACCAAAAGCAACGGUACCGCCACAGUGAUGGCUUCAUUUCUUGAACAGUACCUUUAUUUCUGAGUGUAUGGUCCUAAGCUGUGGAUUUCUCCUAGACAACCUACAUGCAGCUACGCUUAUUUACUAAGGCUCAUCAAUCCAUUUACAGUACUUCUCUCUGUACUAUUUUUUUUUCUUUUUUUUGUCUGUUGUUUACAAUAUAUUAGUUUGCAUGCAAUUUUAGUCUGCUUUUUAUGUUAUUUUCAUAUCUCACAUGUUUAUGUGAAUGUCUCUCUAAACCAACACUGUUUUAGUGCAGUCAGUCGAUUAAAAUUUUAAUCGUGAUUAAUCGCAUACAUUUUUGUAGUUAAUCGCGAUUAAUCGCUUAUUUUGAAAGUCCUGAAAUUUGACACUAUAUAUACAAAAUGUAUUUAUUUCCAUCUUAGGAAGAAAACAAAACAAUAUGUAGCAAUAUAAUGCUUUAACAUUUUCCAAACAAAGCCUUCCACAAUAUAAACAUAGAAAUGCACUAAAAGAUCACCAAUUUAAGUCACAUCAAAUGUUUUCUGAAGUCUAAGUGGGUGUUUGACUAAUUGAAGGAACCAGUCCCCACAAAGGUUGCAUAUUCAUUGCAAUGGGCAUUAAAUCUCUUAAACUCUCAUCAUCCACACUAUUAAUUUCCUUGUAGACUGUGGCUAUCUGCUUUCUUACAGCAAUAGUGAAGCUGCAUUCAUGAGACAACAUCAGCGUGGAGCACCACCUUGAACUCACUAUGCACCUUACAUAGGCUGGAAAAUACUUGAUUUCUUUCACAAGUCCCAUCUGGGCUUGUUUUGUACAAUCAAAUAGUACAAAGAGCUCCUUUCUCCAUCAUUUUAUCACUGACAGGGAAGUGCUGUUGGAUAUUGUUUUAUUUAAUGAAAUAACAACCUCUAUCAUAGGAGACAGCAUAACAGUCAGCUUUAGCAUGUUAACACAGUUCCACCCAUAGAGCAAAACAGUCUGGUUCCGGAAGUAAAAAUCCCAUCUUUUAUCCCAUAGAUGAAUUGAUUUUCAACGAUAACUUAAAAAUCUUUAAAGACAGACCUACCAUGUUGUUCAUUGAUUGUAUAUGCUUCCGUUGAAGCCAUCCCUCUGGGUUUUUCAACUUAAUUGUUUAGAAAUCGUGUUUAACAGCGAAAUUCAUGGUAAACAACUACAUUACUCAUGGUACAGCAGAGGUAUGUCCACCAAUCAGAGAAUCACGGGCAGUGAAAUCCACGAAAACGUGCCUCGGAGCGACCUCGUGCUCCGAUGACGCACUGUGAUUGACGUAAUCGAGAUGGUCUCCCUUCACCCUUAGACUACUUAAGUAUAUAUUUGUACACAUCGGAAUAUUUUGCAGUAAAAUAAAUCUAUUAUUUCUAUACUUAUAAUCAACAACCUAAAAUCAAUAGCUGUAUAUAGUCCCGUCGCUUGUUUAUUCAAUGACACUAUUCACAGUGCUUUAUGGGAUUGUAGUUUGUGCCCUCAUGAAAGAUGAUAAGUAUGCAGCCUUGUACUUUUAUAUUUAUGUCUGAUGUCCAAUUUUUUUUUUUUUUUUGCCUCAAAACUAAGUUUGUGAUGUUGUGACUCUCCUCGGAGUGGAUUGGUUUGGUUCAUAGUUUACAACUCUUUUAUGAAGGAUUUUAUAAAAAGUCUAUGGAAGAAAUGAAUGGGAAAAUACUUCCGGAACCCAGAUGGCUGAAAAAGUGGCGGUCAAUGUUGCGCACUAUAGAAUGUCUAUGGGACCGCUACGUAUGCUAAGCUUGCAGGCAAUUCUUGGUAGAAGAGCUCUGGAGCUAUGGCGAGAGCGUCAGUGUAAUGACUCCGGGAGGACAUAUUACAAAAGUUUCGCCCUUCACACCAGUGUUAAUCGUGAUUAAGAAACAUUAACACAUUAAACAUUUUAAAUUAAUUGCAUUUAUUAAAGCAAACAUUUUUUUUUUUUUUUUUUUUAAGUGUCCUAGUAGUUGUUUUUCUUAGAAAUAUUUGUAAGAAUUGAAUAAAUUGUUGGUGGAAAAUGUUUUCUCAUAAUAUCAUUUUAUACCCCUAACUUUUAAAAGACUGUAAUAAAAAAUAAUGUCACACACAUCUACAAGAUUUGAAGUAGAUCAAGGAAAGUGUAAACAUAAAAAUACUUUGUGGUGUACAGUAAAUGAGGUCAUGUUAGCCUUCAUAUCAACUCUAUCCAACAUGCAUUGCUAGUUCCAACAUCUGGAUGAUUCAUGGUUUAUUUCAAGCCUUGGUUUCACUGUAAUAUAAAACUGUGUUGUUUAUAUAUAUAUAUAUAUAUAUAUAUAUAUAUAUAUAUAUAUAUAUAUAUAUAUAUAUAUAUGUUUUUUGAUGUGAGCAUCUUUGUGGGUAAACGUAUUUAAUGAAGAACUGCAGGAAAGUUGUAAACAGUGAAUCAAAAGUGGAGGGGGGUUAAAAAAAACAGUACCUUUAUUUGAAAUCUGAGAGGAUUCAUAAGGUUAUGCUCAUCAAAUCAUAUGUCAUCAGCAGUGAUUUUCAUUCUUUUAAUGUUGGUAAACAAUUUUCUAAUACAGUUUAAAAAAAAAAUGAUUUUUGUUUUUUUGUUUUUUUUGUUUUUGCUUUAUAGAUCAAGAAAGCUGUAAAGGAAUUUCAUAAAACUUGAAACUUAAGUGUGUAAUUUCUGCACCACCAGCAUCACCAACAGAACUGCAAAAAUAAA